rnacentral:rRNA from 1 species
AGAGUUUGAUCCUGGCUCAGAGCGAACGCUGGCGGCAGGCCUAACACAUGCAAGUCGAACGAACUCUUCGGAGUUAGUGGCGGACGGGUGAGUAACACGUGGGAACGUGCCUUUAGGUUCGGAAUAGCUCCUGGAAACGGGUGGUAAUGCCGAAUGUGCCCUUCGGGGGAAAGAUUUAUCGCCUUUAGAGCGGCCCGCGUCUGAUUAGCUAGUUGGUGGGGUAAUGGCCCACCAAGGCUACGAUCAGUAGCUGGUCUGAGAGGAUGACCAGCCACAUUGGGACUGAGACACGGCCCAAACUCCUACGGGAGGCAGCAGUGGGGAAUCUUGCGCAAUGGGCGAAAGCCUGACGCAGCCAUGCCGCGUGUAUGAUGAAGGUCUUAGGAUUGUAAAGUACUUUCACCGGUGAAGAUAAUGACUGUAGCCGGAGAAGAAGCCCCGGCUAACUUCGUGCCAGCAGCCGCGGUAAUACGAAGGGGGCUAGCGUUGCUCGGAAUUACUGGGCGUAAAGGGAGCGUAGGCGGACAUUUAAGUCAGAGGUGAAAUCCCGGAGCUUAACUUCGGAACUGCCUUUGAUACUGGGUGUCUUGAGUGUGAGAGAGGUAUGUGGAACUCCGAGUGUAGAGGUGAAAUUCGUAGAUAUUCGGAAGAACACCAGUGGCGAAGGCGACAUACUGGCUCAUUACUGACGCUGAGGCUCGAAAGCGUGGGGAGCAAACAGGAUUAGAUACCCUGGUAGUCCAA